CCUACGGGUGGCAGCAGUGGGGAAUAUUGCUCAAUGGGGGAAACCCUGAAGCAGCAACGCCGCGUGAGGGAAGAAGGAUUUCGGCAUGUCAAGCCCUUUUAGCAGGGAAGAAGAUGACGGUACCUGACUAAUAAGCACCGGCUAACUACGUGCCAGCAGCCGCGGUAAUACGGAGGGGGCAAGCGUUAUCCGGAAUAACUGGGCGUAAAGGGAGCGUAGGCGGUGUAACAAGUCAGAAGUGAAAGCCUGGGGCUCAACCCCGGGACUGCAUUGGAAACUGGCUGUCUGGAGUGCGGGAGAGGCAAGGGGAAUUCCUGGUGUAGGGGUAAAAGGCGUAGAUAGUAAGAAGAACACCAGUGGCGAAGGCGGCCUGCUAGACCAUAACUGACGUUGAGGCGCGAAAGCGUGGGGAGCAAACAGGAUUAGAUACCCCUGUAGUC
rnacentral:rRNA from 1 species